AACGCGAAGAACCUUACCUACUCUUGACAUCCUAGGAAAGCUGCAGAGAUGCAGAAGUGCCUUCGGGAGCCUAGAGACAGGUGCUGCAUGGCUGUCGUCAGCUCGUGUCGUGAGAUGUUGGGUUAAGUCCCGUAACGAGCGCAACCCUUGUCCUUAGUUACCAGCGGGUAAAGCCGGGGACUCUAAGGAGACAGCUGGUGAAAACCAGAGGAAGGAGAGGAUGAUGUCAAGUCAUCAUGGCCCUUACGAGUAGGGCUACACACGUGCUACAAUGGCUAGGACAAAGGGAAGCAAACCUGCGAAGGGGAGCAAAUCCUAAAACCUAGUCGUAGUCCAGAUUGGAGUCUGCAACUCGACUCCAUGAAGUCGGAAUCGCUAGUAAUCGUGGAUCAGAACGCCACGGUGAAUACGUUCCCGGGCCUUGUACACACCGGAGUGC
rnacentral:rRNA from 1 species